ACGAACGCUGGCGGCGUGCCUAACACAUGCAAGUCGAACGGAACUUCUUUAAAGGAUUUCUUCGGAAUGAAUUUGAUUAAGUUUAGUGGCGGACGGGUGAGUAACGCGUGAGUAACCUGCCUCUAAGAGGGGAAUAACAUUCUGAAAAGAAUGCUAAUACCGCAUAAUAUAUAUUUAUCGCAUGGUAGAUAUAUCAAAGAUUUAUCGCUUAGAGAUGGACUCGCGUCCGAUUAGUUAGUUGGUGAGGUAACGGCUCACCAAGACCGCGAUCGGUAGCCGGACUGAGAGGUUGAACGGCCACAUUGGGACUGAGACACGGCCCAGACUCCUACGGGAGGCAGCAGUGGGGGAUAUUGCGCAAUGGGGGAAACCCUGACGCAGCAACGCCGCGUGAAGGAUGAAGGUCUUCGGAUUGUAAACUUCUUUUAUUAAGGACGAAGAAAGUGACGGUACUUAAUGAAUAAGCUCCGGCUAACUACGUGCCAGCAGCCGCGGUAAUACGUAGGGAGCAAGCGUUGUCCGGAUUUACUGGGUGUAAAGGGUGCGUAGGCGGCUUUGCAAGUCAGAUGUGAAAUCUAUGGGCUCAACCCAUAGCCUGCAUUUGAAACUGCAGAGCUUGAGUGAAGUAGAGGCAGGCGGAAUUCCCCGUGUAGCGGUGAAAUGCGUAGAGAUGGGGAGGAACACCAGUGGCGAAGGCGGCCUGCUGGGCUUUAACUGACGCUGAGGCACGAAAGCGUGGGUAGCAAACAGGAUUAGAUACCCUGGUAGUCCACACAGUAAACGAUGAAUACUCGCUGUUUGCGAUAUACAGUAAGCGGCCAAGCGAAAGCGUUAAGUAUUCCACCUGGGGAGUACGCCGGCAACGGUGAAACUCAAAGGAAUUGACGGGGGCCCGCACAAGCAGUGGAGUAUGUGGUUUAAUUCGACGCAACGCGAAGAACCUUACCAGGUCUUGACAUCCGAUGCAUAACACAGAGAUGUGUGAAAUCCUUCGGGACAUCGAGACAGGUGGUGCAUGGUUGUCGUCAGCUCGUGUCGUGAGAUGUUGGGUUAAGUCCCGCAACGAGCGCAACCCUUGCUAUUAGUUGCUACGCAAGAGCACUCUAAUAGGACUGCCGUUGACAAAACGGGGGAAGGUGGGGACGACGUCAAAUCAUCAUGCCCCUUAUGACCUGGGCUACACACGUACUACAAUGGACAUUAACAGAGGGAAGCAAAACAGCGAUGUGGAGCAAACCCCUAAAAAUGUUCUCAGUUCAGAUUGCAGGCUGCAACCCGCCUGUAUGAAGAUGGAAUUGCUAGUAAUCGCAGAUCAGCAUGCUGCGGUGAAUACGUUCCCGGGCCUUGUACACACCGCCCGUCACACCAUGGGAGCCGGUAAUACCCGAAGUCAGUAGUCUAACCGCAAGGAGGACGCUGCCGAAGGUAGGAUUGGCGACUGGGGUG
rnacentral:rRNA from 1 species